GAUGAACGCUAGCGGCAGGCCUAAUACAUGCAAGACGAACGGUAAGUUGAGUAGCAAUACUUGACCUAGAGUGUCGCACGGGUGCGUAACACGUAUGCAACCUACCCAUAACAGGAGGAUAGCUCCCCGAAAGGGGAAUUAACCCUCCAUAGUAAUAUUGGAUGGCAUCAUUUGAUAUUUAAAACUGAGGUGGUUAUGGAUGGGCAUGCGUCUGAUUAGUUAGUUGGCGGUGUAACGGACCACCAAGACGAUGAUCAGUAGGGGAACUGAGAGGUUGAUCCCCCACACUGGCACUGAGAUACGGGCCAGACUCCUACGGGAGGCAGCAGUAGGGAAUAUUGGUCAAUGGAUGGAAGUCUGAACCAGCCAUGCCGCGUGCAGGAAGAAGGCCUUAUGGGUUGUAAACUGCUUUUGCCAGGGGAUAAAAUAGCUGUGCGCAGCGAAUUGCAGGUACCUGGUGAAUAAGCCACGGCUAACUACGUGCCAGCAGCCGCGGUAAUACGUAGGUGGCAAGCGUUGUCCGGAUUUAUUGGGUUUAAAGGGUGCGUAGGCGGCCUUGUAAGUCAGUGGUGAAAUACUCCAGCUUAACUGGAGGGGUGCCAUUGAUACUGCAGGGCUUGAGUAAAGUUGAAGUUGGCGGAAUUGACGGUGUAGCGGUGAAAUGCUUAGAUAUCGUCAAGAACACCGAUAGUGAAGACAGCUAACUAAGCUUUAACUGACGCUGAGGCACGAAAGUGUGGGGAUCAAACAGGAUUAGAUACCCUGGUAGUCCACACUGUAAACGUUGAUGACUCGCUGUUGGCGAUACACAGCCAGCGGCCAAGCGCAAGCGAUAAGUCAUCCACCUGGGGAGUACGCCGGCAACGGUG
rnacentral:rRNA from 1 species